CUACUCAGCACUCUGAACACUGAGCUCCUGAUCUUGGCCUUGAACUGUUAAAACAUUUUUGUUGACAAGUGGAAAAAAAACUCCUGGCUUCAGAAUGUUGCAAACAGCAGAAGGACAGGAUGAGAGGAAAUGAACCAAGAGGACAAAACUCAGAUAGCAGAGUACCUCACCUAGAGCAAGAAGGUACCACAGCUUUACAGAAGAAAAUCAAGGAUGUGGUUGGCCAGCAGCGCUCACGAUGCUUCUGACGGACACUACGCUGACUGAAUCUUUUACUUCCAAGGAUGGGACAGAAGGUCGGAAAAUUCUGAGAAAAUGCAUGCUGAUGAACUCAAGCCAUUCCCUUCCCCAGCUUAAGUCAGAGAUUCGCUGCUAGCUUUCCUGGAACAAAAGAAGAAAUGAAGUGCAUCUGCAAAAACAUGUGGUUUAACAUCACUUGUAAGCAUAGAGCCUCAUACCCAUCCAAAAACUAUAGUGCUUUUCCAUAAAGUCAUCUCCUUUCAUCUAAAGCUGUACUAAAAUGUUUAUGCCAUUUGUGUUUCUUUCUUUUUUUUAAACUCAAAUUCCUUCUCCUCAUUUUUGGAAAGCAGCUGAUUAAACCUGAACAACUGGGUUGUUGGACGAAAUAUGCUGUAGCUAUGAAAUGGUACAGCAGGGACCAGUUUCACUGUUAAUUUAAAAUGCUAGAAUUAAUUAGGUAGUGUAAAUGAAGAAUUUAAUAAGCACACUUUACAACCACAAGUUCUGCUUUUAUUAAACACCCCAGCCAAACGAAGGCAACUAUCUUCAGUCUGUUUUUCCUUGUCUUGCUCCCUUACAAUCUCUGCAGUGAAAAAAAGCAUUUUCCUAUCACAGCCCCUCCCCCAUAAUUAAAAUUUAUGCCUGACUUCCAUCUCCUCUUUCGAGUCAUUAGCAUCUUUUAAAAAUGCUACUGUAUAUCCUGCCUGUUCUGCAAAGCUACCAAACAAAACCCAAGUUUACAAUUUUGGUUUUGAAUACCAAAUUAAAGGCUGUCUUAGAAGCUGUCAUUCCUAUUCAACUCGGCACGGUGUACUACCAAAUUAGCAUAUAUUUUUAGUAAGGGAACAUGGUUGUUUAAACAUGUGUCUUUCCAAAACGAGGGGUAACAUCACGAAUCAAUUUCCUUAAAAAAAUCUAGUGCUGUUCUAAAAGACCUGCAAAAAGACGCAGAGCAGAUGAUUAUUGCUGACAUGUACUCUUUAAUCCACUUAA